UGGAGAGUUUGAUCCUGGCUCAGGACGAACGCUGGCGGCGUGCUUAACACAUGCAAGUCGAACGGAAAGGCCCCUUCGGGGGUACUCGAGUGGCGAACGGGUGAGUAACACGUGGGCAAUCUGCCCUGCACUUCGGGAUAAGCCUGGGAAACUGGGUCUAAUACCGGAUAGGACCACUUGGCGCAUGCCUUGUGGUGGAAAGCUUUUGCGGUGUGGGAUGGGCCCGCGGCCUAUCAGCUUGUUGGUGGGGUGAUGGCCUACCAAGGCGACGACGGGUAGCCGGCCUGAGAGGGUGUCCGGCCACACUGGGACUGAGAUACGGCCCAGACUCCUACGGGAGGCAGCAGUGGGGAAUAUUGCACAAUGGGCGCAAGCCUGAUGCAGCGACGCCGCGUGGGGGAUGACGGCCUUCGGGUUGUAAACCUCUUUCACCAUCGACGAAGGUCCGGGUUUUCUCGGAUUGACGGUAGGUGGAGAAGAAGCACCGGCCAACUACGUGCCAGCAGCCGCGGUA
rnacentral:rRNA from 1 species